rnacentral:rRNA from 1 species
AGUUAUCGUUUAUUUGAUAGUACCUUACUACUUGGAUAACCGUGGUAAUUCUAGAGCUAAUACAUGCUGAAAACCCCAACUUCGGGAGGGGUGUAUUUAUUAGAUAAAAAACCAAUGCCCUUCGGGGCUUCUUGGUGAUUCAUGAUAACUUUACGGAUCGCAUGGCCUUGCGCCGGCGACGGUUCAUUCAAAUUUCUGCCCUAUCAACUUUCGAUGGUAAGGUAUUGGCUUACCAUGGUUUCAACGGGUAACGGGGAAUUAGGGUUCGAUUCCGGAGAGGGAGCCUGAGAAACGGCUACCACAUCCAAGGAAGGCAGCAGGCGCGCAAAUUACCCAAUCCCGACACGGGGAGGUAGUGACAAUAAAUACUGAUACAGGGCUCUUUUGGGUCUUGUAAUUGGAAUGAGUACAAUUUAAACCUCUUAACGAGGAACAAUUGGAGGGCAAGUCUGGUGCCAGCAGCCGCGGUAAUUCCAGCUCCAAUAGCGUAUAUUAAAGUUGUUGCAGUUAAAAAGCUCGUAGUUGAAACUUGGGUCUGGCUGGCAGGUCCGCCUCACCGCGUGUACUUGUCCGGCCGGGCCUUCCUUCUGGAGAACCUCAUGCCCUUCAUUGGGCGUGUUGGGGACCAGGACUUUUACUUUGAAAAAAUUAGAGUGUUCAAAGCAGGCCUUUGCUCGAAUACGUUAGCAUGGAAUAAUAGAAUAGGACGUGCGGUCCUAUUUUGUUGGUUUCUAGGACCGCCGUAAUGAUUAAUAGGGACAGUCGGGGGCAUCAGUAUUCAAUUGUCAGAGGUGAAAUUCUUGGAUUUAUUGAAGACUAACUACUGCGAAAGCAUUUGCCAAGGAUGUUUUCAUUAAUCAGUGAACGAAAGUUAGGGGAUCGAAGACGAUCAGAUACCGUCGUAGUCUUAACCGUAAACUAUGCCGACUAGGGAUCGGGCGAUGUUCUUUUUCUGACUCGCUCGGCACCUUACGAGAAAUCAA